rnacentral:miRNA from 1 species
UGUGUGUGUGUGUCUGUGAGUGUGUGUGUGUGUACGCAUAUAUAUAUUAAAUAUAUAUAUAUAUAUAUACACACACACACACACACACACAUACAUACACACACACACACACACA